rnacentral:tRNA from 1 species
GGGCUAUUAGCUUAGUGGUAAAGCAUUCCGUUGAUAACGGAAAGUCGGAGUUUCGAUUCCUCCAUAGCCCACCA